rnacentral:rRNA from 1 species
UACAGAGGGUGCAAGCGUUAAUCGGAAUUACUGGGCGUAAAGGGCGCGUAGGUGGUUGCGUAAGUGAGAUGUGAAAUCCCCGGGCUUAACCUGGGAACUGCAUCUUAUACUGCGUAGCUUGAGUGCGGUAGAGGGUAGUGGAAUUUCCGGUGUAGCGGUGAAAUGCGUAGAUAUCGGAAGGAACACCAGUGGCGAAGGCGGCUACCUGGACUGACACUGACACUGAGGCGCGAAAGCGUGGGGAGCAAACAGG